rfam:Medicago truncatula strain A17 chromosome 7, whole genome shotgun sequence.
UGCCGAGGUUUUCCUCGACAGUUAACUGCCGCCGGUUUCAUUUUUCCUCGGUAGUUAACUGUCGAGGCUUCC